ACGUAGGGUGCAAGCGUUGUUCGGAAUCACUGGGCGUAAAGAGAGCGUAGGCGGGAUCGUAAGUUAGAAGUUUAAUACAUGGGCUUAACCCGUGGUCGGCUUUUAAUACUGCGGUUCUUGAGUGUGGGAGAGGGCGAUGGAAUUCCAGGUGUAGCGGUGGAAUGCGUAGAUAUCUGGAAGAACACCAGUAGCGAAGGCGGUCGCCUGGCCUAACACUGACGCUGAGGCUCGAAAGCUAGGGGAGCAAACAGGAUUAGAUACCCUGGUAGUCCUAGCCGUAAACGAUGAACACUAGUUGCCGGAGGAGUCAAUCUUUUUGGUGACGAAGCUAACGCAUUAAGUGUUCCGCCUGGGAAGUACGCUCGCAAGAGUG
rnacentral:rRNA from 1 species